UACGAGGGGGGCAAGCGUUGUUCGGAAUUAUUGGGCGUAAAGGGUGCGUAGGUGGUUCGGCAAGUCUUGUGUGAAAUCUUCAGGCUCAACUUGAAGUCUGCACAAGAAACUGCCGGGCUUGAGUAUGGUAGAGGUUGGUGGAACUGCGAGUGUAGAGGUGAAAUUCGUAGAUAUUCGCAAGAACACCGGUGGCGAAGGCGGCCAACUGGACCAUUACUGACGCUGAGGCGCGAAAGCGUGGGGAGCAAACAGG
rnacentral:rRNA from 1 species